rnacentral:rRNA from 1 species
UACGUAGGGGGCGAGCGUUGUCCGGAUUCAUUGGGCGUAAAGCGCGCGUAGGCGGCAGGGCAAGUCGGCCGUGAAAUCUCCCAGCUUAACUGGGAGGGGUCGGGCGAGACUGCCCCGCUAGAGGCGGGUAGAGGGCAGUGGAAUUCCGGGUGUAGUGGUGGAAUGCGUAGAGAUCCGGAGGAACACCAGUGGCGAAGGCGGCUGCCUGGGCCCUGGCCUGACGCUGAGGCGCGAAAGCGUGGGGAGCGAUCCGG